rnacentral:rRNA from 1 species
UCGAGGAUCUUCGGCAAUGGGCGCAAGCCUGACCGAGCGACGCCGCGUGUGCGAUGAAGGCCUUCGGGUUGUAAAGCACUGUCGAGGGGGAGAAAGCCGCAAGGUUGAUCGACCCCUGGAGGAAGCACGGGCUAAGUUCGUGCCAGCAGCCGCGGUAAGACGAACCGUGCGAACGUUGUUCGGAUUCACUGGGCUUAAAGGGCGCGUAGGCGGGCUUUCAAGUCGGGGGUGAAAUCCCACAGCUUAACUGUGGAAGUGCCUCCGAUACUGGGAGCCUUGAGGGAGGUAGGGGUGUGUGGAACUUCCGGUGGAGCGGUGAAAUGCGUAGAUAUCGGAAGGAACGCCGGUGGCGAAAGCGACGCACUGGACCUCUUCUGACGCUGAGGCGCGAAAGCUAGGGGAGCAGACGGGAUUAGAUACCCCGGGUAGUCCUAGCCCUAAACGAUGGGUACUAGGUAGUGGACCAGCAUGGGUUCCCUGCCGAAGCGAAAGUGAUAAGUACCCCG